rnacentral:rRNA from 1 species
GACGAACGCUGGCGGCGUGCUUAACACAUGCAAGUCGAACGGAAAGGCCCUGCCUUUGUGGGGUGCUCGAGUGGCGAACGGGUGAGUAACACGUGAGUAACCUGCCCUUGACUUUGGGAUAACUUCAGGAAACUGGGGCUAAUACCGGAUAGGAGCUCCUGCUGCAUGGUGGGGGUUGGAAAGUUUCGGCGGUUGGGGAUGGACUCGCGGCUUAUCAGCUUGUUGGUGGGGUAGUGGCUUACCAAGGCUUUGACGGGUAGCCGGCCUGAGAGGGUGACCGGCCACAUUGGGACUGAGAUACGGCCCAGACUCCUCCGGGAGGCAGCAGUGGGGAAUAUUGCACAAUGGGCGGAAGCCUGAUGCAGCAGCGCCGCGUGCGGGAUGACGGCCUUCGGGUUGUAAACCGCUUUCGCCUGUGACGAAGCGUGAGUGACGGUAAUGGGUAAAGAAGCACCGGCUAACUACGU